AAAGUCGUAACAAGGUUUCCGUAGGUGAACCUGCGGAAGGAUCAUUAGCAAAAUGGGAGAUAGGUUGUGGGUGGGGAGAAGCCGGGUUGUUUGACCCUGACAAACCUUAACCUAACCUAACCACAUUCACGCUUGUUCUGUAUGACUGAAUCACAUUUACUUGUAAUUAUAUACAACUUUUAACAAUGGAUCUCUUGGCUCUU
rnacentral:misc_RNA from 1 species